rnacentral:lncRNA from 1 species
CUCUCACUUGUGUCAGCACUCCCAACGAAGAAUUGGGGAGCCCAAGCCUAACAACCUUUCUGGAGCCCAUGAGACCAACACCGAAGGCUCUCUUUGGCUCUCUCCGGCUCCCUCUUCUGUAGUAAGCGAAGCUCUGUCAUUCUCCAUGCCUUGCCUUAACCCCUGUAGAUGCUGGGCUACAUCCCAUCUGCUGACGUGAGGCCAAGGCCUCAUAUGGAAGAUGUGAACCCCCGAGUCUCCUGGUAUGAAGUGCACAUACGUCUCUUCCCACCAUUUCUACCCGAGGCUUCCUGGAAAUGGCUGCUACAGAAUCCCGGACUUUCCUCUACUGAACAGAACCAGGGUCCAGCAACCCGGCACCCAGAUCUACCACCUGUGGACCCAGGUUAUGUCCUGAGAUCCCAUGUGCGUAACCGAUGGACAUUGGACCUAAGAGCCAGUAAACCAAGCAGGAAGAAUUUGGGAGCCCGAGCCUGAUAGCCUUUCUGGAGCUGCUGAGACAGACAGUGAGGGCACUCUGGGGCUCCUUCUUGUGUGCUGAGUGAUGCUGUCUGUCCUCUAUCCCUGUCUUCCUCUGACCUUAAUGGUGCAUUAUGUCCCGUCUGCUGUCCUAAGGGCAAGACCUCACCUGGAAGAUGUCACAUCCCCAGACUCCUGGUGAGAAGUGCACCCGCAUCUCAUUUGGAGGCUUUUGCGUAAGGCUUCCUGGAAAUGGCUGCUGCAGAUAAGAUAAGCCAGAGGGAAGGAUGUGAGAAUUCCUUCUGUCGUGUGGAACCCCUCACAUCUCACUUCAUAUUGACUGCAGGCGGAGCUUGGAAACCCUUCCCUUUCUGGUAUAAAACCACCCCUGUCCCCAACCAUGCCCCACACAAUCCCAGCAGAGAUAGUGAAGGGGCUCCUUAGCCUGACGGUUCUCACUGUGGGCUCUUAUUCGACUGCAGGGGCAUUGCUUGAA